ACAUUUCUCUUUGAUUUUAUUUAGAGUAAAGUCUGCCCACUGUUAAAAUAAAGGGCCGCGGUAUUUUGACCGUGCAAAGGUAGCAUAAUCAUUAGUCUCUUAAUUAGGGAAUGGUAUGAAUGGCUAAAUGAUUUUUUUCUUUAAUUAAUAUUAAAAAUAUAAAUUUGAUUUUAAGUGAAAAUACUUAAAUUUUCUAUUAAGACGAUAAGACCCUAUAGAAUUUUAUUUGUAUAAUUUAUAUAUAUAAAUUUAAUUGGGGCAUUUAAAGAAUAAAAUAAAUUUCUUUUUAAAAAUUUUAUUAAUAAUCUAACUUAUUAUAAUAUAAAAAAAUUACCUUAGGGAUAACAGCGUAAUUAAUUUUAAGAGUUCAUAUCGACAAAUUAGUUUGCGACCUCGAUGUUGAAUUAAAAUUCCUAAAUGGAGCAGAAUUUAUUAAAGGUAGUCUGUUCGACUAAAAAAUUUUUACAUGAUUUGAGU
rnacentral:rRNA from 1 species